AUCUAAUUUAGCUCAGCUGGUAGAGCAUGAGACUUUUAACCACAGGGUCAGGGGUUUGAGCCCCACAUUAGGCA